UACGAAGGGGGCUAGCGUUGCUCGGAAUCACUGGGCGUAAAGGGUGCGUAGGCGGGUCUUUAAGUCAGGGGUGAAAUCCUGGAGCUCAACUCCAGAACUGCCGUUGAUACUGAGGAUCUUGAGUACGGGAGAGGUGAGUGGAACUGCGAGUGUAGAGGUGAAAUUCGUAGAUAUUCGCAAGAACACCAGUGGCGAAGGCGGCUCACUGGCCCGUUACUGACGCUGAGGCUCGAAAGCGUGGGGAGCAAACAGG
rnacentral:rRNA from 1 species